GAUGAACGCUAGCGGCAGGCUUAACACAUGCAAGUCGAGGGGUAUAGUAGCAAUACUAGAGACCGGCGCACGGGUGCGUAACGCGUAUGCAACCUACCUUUUACAGAGGGAUAGCCCAGAGAAAUUUGGAUUAAUACCUCAUAGUGUUAUUAGAUGGCAUCAUUUGAUAACUAAAGUUCCAACGGUAAAGAUGGGCAUGCGUCCUAUUAGCUAGAUGGUAAGGUAACGGCUUACCAUGGCUACGAUAGGUAGGGGUCCUGAGAGGGAGACUCCCCCACACUGGUACUGAGACACGGACCAGACUCC
rnacentral:rRNA from 1 species